rfam:Picea glauca, whole genome shotgun sequence.
ACAUGUUUACAACAUAGCGUUAAUGCAUCAGAUUCCAUUAGAACUUUGUAGUUAAGCAUUCUCAUGCUAUAGUAGUAAUGGGAUGGGUGAUUGUCAGGGAAGUAUUAGUAUUUUACAUGCC